UACGUAGGAGACGAGCGUUGUCCGGAAUCACUGGGCGUAAAGGGCGCGUAGGCGGCCACGCACGUCCGUUGUGAAAUCGCCCGGCUCAACUGGGCGGGGUCGGCGGAUACGGCGUGGCUGGAGCAAGCUAGGGGGCAAUGGAAUUCCCGGUGUAGUGGUGGAAUGCGUAGAUAUCGGGAGGAACACCUGUGGCGAAAGCGGCGCACUGGACCACAACUGACGCUGAGGCGCGAAAGCUAGGGGAGCAAACAGG
rnacentral:rRNA from 1 species